GAUGAACGCUGGCGGCGUGCCUAAUACAUGCAAGUCGAGCGAACAGAUGAGGAGCUUGCUCCUCUGACGUUAGCGGCGGACGGGUGAGUAACACGUGGAUAACCUACCUAUAAGACUGGGAUAACUUCGGGAAACCGGAGCUAAUACCGGAUAAUAUAUUGAACCGCAUGGUUCAAUAGUGAAAGACGGUUUUGCUGUCACUUAUAGAUGGAUCCGCGCCGCAUUAGCUAGUUGGUAAGGUAACGGCUUACCAAGGCAACGAUGCGUAGCCGACCUGAGAGGGUGAUCGGCCACACUGGAACUGAGACACGGUCCAGACUCCUACGGGAGGCAGCAGUAGGGAAUCUUCCGCAAUGGGCGAGAGCUUGACGGAGCAACGCCGCGUGAGUGAUGAAGGUCUUCGGAUCGUAAAACUCUGUUAUUAGGGAAGAACAAAUGUGUAAGUAACUAUGCACGUCUUGACGGUACCUAAUCAGAAAGCCACGGCUAACUCCGUG
rnacentral:rRNA from 1 species